GGUCGAGUGGCCGAAUGAUAGGCAAAGUUUCGCAAAAUCUUUCAGAGUGGUUCGAAUCCGCUCCCAACCU
rnacentral:tRNA from 1 species